rnacentral:rRNA from 1 species
AGUGGCGGACGGGUGAGUAACGCGUGGGUAACCUGCCCCAUAGAGGGGGACAACAGCUGGAAACGGCUGCUAAUACCGCAUGGGAAAGCGGGACCGCAUGGUCCUGCUUUGAAAGAUUUAUCGCUAUGGGAUGGACCCGCGUCUGAUUAGCUUGUUGGUAAGGUAACGGCUUACCAAGGCGACGAUCAGUAGCCGGCUUGAGAGAGUGAACGGCCACAUUGGGACUGAGACACGGCCCAGACUCCUACGGGAGGCAGCAGUGGGGAAUAUUGCACAAUGGGGGGAACCCUGAUGCAGCGACGCCGCGUGAGUGAAGAAGUAUUUCGGUAUGUAAAGCUCUAUCAGCAGGGAAGAUAAUGACGGUACCUGACUAAGAAGCCCCGGCUAACUCCGUGCCAGCAGCCGCGGUAAUACGGAGGAUGCGAGCGUUAUCCGGAUUUAUUGGGUUUAAAGGGUGCGUAGGCGGAUUUUUAAGUCAGCGGUAAAAUGUCCGGGCUCAACCCGGGCCGGCCGUUGAAACUGGGGAUCUUGAGUGGGCGAGAAGUAUGCGGAAUGCGUGGUGUAGCGGUGAAAUGCAUAGAUAUCACGCAGAACUCCGAUUGCGAAGGCAGCAUACCGGCGCCCGACUGACGCUGAGGCACGAAAGCGUGGGGAUCGANCAGGAUUAGAUACCCUGGUA